GACAGAGGGUGCAAACGUUGUUCGGAAUUACUGGGCGUAAAGCGCGUGUAGGCGGCCCUGCAAGUCGGGUGUGAAAUCCCACGGCUCAACCGUGGAAGUGCACUCGAAACUGCAGGGCUAGAGUCCUGGAGAGGAAGGUGGAAUGCUUGGUGUAGAGGUGAAAUUCGUAGAUAUCAAGCGGAACACCGGUGGCGAAGGCGGCCUUCUGGACAGUGACUGACGCUGAGGAGCGAAAGCCAGGGGAGCAAACGGG
rnacentral:rRNA from 1 species